rnacentral:rRNA from 1 species
UACGUAGGGUCCGAGCGUUGUCCGGAUUUACUGGGCGUAAAGAGCGCGCAGGCGGUCGUUCAAGUCGCGUGUGAAAGCCCCCGGCUCAACUGGGGAGGGUCACGCGAUACUGAUCGACUCGAAGGCAGGAGAGGGAAGUGGAAUUCCCGGUGUAGUGGUGAAAUGCGUAGAUAUCGGGAGGAACACCUGUGGCGAAGGCGGCUUUCUGGGCCUUACCUGACGCUGAGACGCGAAAGCGUGGGGAGCGAACCGG